UCGCUGUUAGCUCAAUGGAUAGAGCAACGGAUUUCUAAUCCGUAGGUUAUCAGUUCGAAUCUGAUACGGCGAACCA
rnacentral:tRNA from 1 species